UACGUAGGGUGCGAGCGUUGUCCGGAAUUAUUGGGCGUAAAGAGCUUGUAGGCGGUCUGUCGCGUCUGCUGUGAAAAUCCGGGGCUCAACCCCGGACUUGCAGUGGGUACGGGCAGACUAGAGUGUGGUAGGGGAGACUGGAAUUCCUGGUGUAGCGGUGAAAUGCGCAGAUAUCAGGAGGAACACCGGUGGCGAAGGCGGGUCUCUGGGCCGAAAUUGACGCUGAGGAGCGAAAGCGUGGGGAGCAAACAGG
rnacentral:rRNA from 1 species